GUGGAAGCGACUCAGCGCGAAAACGGAGCGUCAGCAGAAACCCUUGAACGCCGAGGGAACCACGACCCGAUAUGCUGGAAGGAAAGUUGGGGACAUCUGCGAAGAGAAGAAUAGGAAUCACAGAGGACAGAAGCAGUCCAGGAGGAAGAAGCAACUUGCGUUGUUCUCGAAGAGUUUCUGGAAGGAUGUAUGAUGUAUGAAAUUCAGCAGAGGUUCGAGAAAGGCCAAGACUGAAAAUUGCAGUUGGAUUUAGCAUGGAAGAGCCUCCAACUCUGAAGUGGAGAGAGAGGUGGCCUGUUCAGCAGAACAAAGCACGACUGAGGACCCGGACUUUGGAUGAAAAUGUGAAACUGAACAAUGUGGAAGGGAUAUAAGUAUCCCCCAGGAGGGACCCCGGUGGAAAUAACCAAAGAUGAUCCUGGUGAAGUCAUGCAGCUCUGAAGCUCACCUGCCCAGCUGUACAGUUCCUGUUGUUGGUUUCGUAUAAAGUAAUUGCACAUUAUUGUGUCAUUUUUAUGUAAAAAAGUUACCGCUCUUUUUAACAUGAAGACAUGACAUUCUGUUAGCUAACAAGGAGAUGGCACGGAGGUGAGGGAGGUAGUAGGGCUGGUUGGGAGGUGACACCUUUGACUAAAUAGUUUAAAUUGCCUUCUGUGUCCUUAAGGAUAGAAAUUAUAUUACUUUAGACCUGUUUCCCAAGUAAUGCCUUUAUCCUCUUUGUUUCAGGAUCCAUGGGUGAAAUGUUAGAAAUGGCUAGAUUGCACAACUUUAGGCUAUUCUUUGAAUCUAUUUCUCUUUGCCCUUUUUACGGUCAUUAUCAGACACCCAAAACACAUACCAUGUUUUGAAAGACUCUCAAUAUUGGCUACUAGAUAAAUUUUACAUUAAUGCUUAAAAUAGCCAUCUGAGCUGGUACUAGCUUCACUUACAAAAUGGCAAAAGUGAAAUUGAGAGGAUUAAGUGCCUGAUCAACCUACACAGCUCUGGGUUGCACAAAGUUAAGAUCCACUCCUCCUCCUUUGCAUGUUUUCAUAUGUCACAAGAGGAGCCAAGCAAGAGUCAAAUGUGGAUGGAUAUUCAGAGUUUGGGUACCUUAUGGUUCAAAUGCCUUCCUCACCUGAAUAGCCAAGACUUAUUCUUUUUGCAGUUAGGUGCCAAAAUAGGUCACAUAUGUAUAAGCCUAAUUGUUCAAUCUUCAGUAUGAUGCAGACGUGUUUAUGUGACAUAAGAUGGGUAACUUAAGACCCAUGUGAUUAAAUGGGGUGUCUGAGUCCUAAAAUAUGUCCUUUUAAAAAAAUGGUUUGGAGGCCUUCCCUGGUGGCGCAGCGGGUUAAAGCACUGCACU